CUGUAAUAAAUACUUUCAGAUUCCCACUGCAUACAAUAUAGGUGAUACUAUAGGGUGUUUCAUAUGGGUAGGGGAAAAACUACAUGCCUGAGUUUUCAGAACUGUGCCUGGAGGAGAAGCCAUGCCGAGGUGUGACAGUUAUGGACUUGCAUGGACGCGGGAGUGGAUGACGCCUGGGAGGGCAUAAGAGAGCUGUACACACCCAGCCCCAGCUUGCACCUUCCCACUGCUAUACAGAUGAAGAGGCAGCAACUAACCAGGAAAUGAUGAGAAAUGCUGUCAAUACUCAGUAUGAGAAGUCGGAAUGGAGAGUCUGCUGACAUCCUGGCAAAAGUGCCACCACUGUUGUGGGUUUGUCCACUGCACGAAGUCCCUAUGCCUGCUGCACAUUGUUAACAGCACAUGCAGCAAGAUGUGCUGUGAUACUACACGAAUAAACACAGUUAUUUCCACAGGCUUUAAAAAAUAUUACAGCUUUUAAACCAAGGGGGAAAGCCUCCCCAGAAGCUCUGGUGUGAGCCUUCACCACAGGGCUGGAUAAUUCAUAGUUGGACUUCUCACAGAGGCUGCUCCUAACUUGGAGAGGAACACUUGCUGCCAGCACUUGUUCAAAAGCUGAAGCAAAAUGGACUUUGAAAACGGACAGGACUGCACCAUUAAGGGAUACAGUGAAAAUUAAAUAAUGAAACAUAGAUGUUUCUCCUCCAUGGCUCUGGGCAAGCGUGCACAGACCUAGGGGUAAGGGCCUAGUGAAAUAAUAAUGGCUGAACUGGUGCGCAUCUGAUGCCCAUUUUGAAUGUGAGCACGAUAGCCACAGUAACAGGAUGGACCUUUGUCUUCUAUCCCCAGACACUCCAUUCCAGUGGGUACAGUUCACCCUCAGGACCAAGUAGGAUAAGCAGCACAUCCCUCAGGACUUGUUCUCUGAGCUGGAUGAAAAUUGUAGGAGAGAGGCUGAAGAUGCUGAGCGGAAAGAAAUGGCAAGUUAAAUACCUGCUGCUGCUGUGAUGGGAGAGAAGUGCCCACACCAGCAGUACCCUCAGGCUCUACCUUCUGCUCUCUGGAAUACUUUCUGCAGCUGCAGGUGCUGAUGUGAGCAGCCUUCUCCUUCUGCCACCACUGAAGUUUGGCAAUGGACUUGGAGAUCUGGAGCUGAGGAGAGGUAAAAGACAGUAUCAAGUGCAGGAUCAAGCCCUGCAUGGCCACUCUGUCCUUACACAGCCUCUGAGCUGAGGAGAUGCACCACCUAUGAAAGAAUGCUGCUGGACAAUUGUGCCAAUAGCACCAAAGACACUGAAGGUAACAUGGGAGCCACAUCCCUCUGGCUGCAUGUUUGCUGCAUGACAAACCUCUUGGUAUGUCACAUGGCCCUUCACUCCCAAAUCAACUCUGCCCCAAUGAUGCAUCCUUUUCCAGAAGUCCUGCAAUAUCUUUAAAUUCUGUAGUCAUCCCUCUAGCACUGCCAGCUUAAUGCUGGCUCAUUAAGUGAAUUCCUAAGGCAUCUAAAGAAACAUUUGCUUACUACACCUCAGCCUAUUAGUCUGCAUUUUGUACAGCCCCUAAUACUUGGUGUCCUACAUGUGGUAGUCUCACUUGCUACGUACUACUUAGUUAUACUAAGAAUUCCAUAAUCCUGCAUUACCUGGAUUAGCUUGAACAGUUCAAGUUUUUGUCCUGCUAAGCUUAACUAGCCAUACUCACACUAGGCUCUAACCAGAAUCCAGCUAAUAGGACAUCCAACUCUCUCUUGCUCUCGGGGUGAAGUGGCAGUCCUCACCUUCCCUUGGAGGCUUUUUCACAGCCCUCCUAACAGUGGAGGGCUGCUCUCUGUCUUGCACUGACACCUCAUCCUUUUCCUGACCUUCACCCUGCCCUAAGCCCAUGUCCAACAUGAGCUCUGCCAGCAAAGGCAGUCUGCCUAGCACUGAGUCUUAGACAUUUCAGUCUUCAUGAGUUCCCAGUACACUCAAAAAAGGAGAAUUAUAUUUAAGCAUUUCUUAUGGAAGGAAGAAUUGACUCCAGUACAACUUAUUAACAGGGCCGGAGACUCCCUAAAAGAAAAACAAUUUUAAAACCUCUACAACAAACAUAACAAAAAUAUGCAUAUGCAACAAAUAGUAAAAUGAAAAAAGCCUCCCCAACUUUCCAGAUUUUCUUGGUACACUUUCUUGUCUAAAACUCAGCUCCAUAUUAUUGCUUCAUAGCUGUCACUAAAGCGUUUUAAUAGAAUAGCAACAAUUUUCAAAAUUCCAGAGCAGAAAUCACGAGGAAGAUGGGGUCCCCUUCCACAGUUUUGAUUUUAAAUUUUUUUAAGACUCAAUACUGUGGCCAGGAAUGAAAUAAAAUACAUGUGAGGGGACAGCAGAGAUAGAAAAAUGGAAGUUUACAAUUGACUUCUAAUUUAAUUUAAGAAGUGACUACGAAGAAAAAGAUGGCAUAUUUAUAUAUGUAUAUAUACAUAAUGUAUAUAUACAUACACACACAUACAUACACAAAUAUUCAGAGAUGGAAAUAGUAUUUCUGUAGAAUCUGAAAGAUUUAAAAUACAAGAGAAAUCAAAGUAAUAACACAUGACAGUAUAAAAACUCCAAUAAUAUACUUAAUUGCAAUUCUCAUUCCAUAAUUUAACAGUUCUAAAUCUGCUUGCAUGAAUCCACAUAAGAUACACUGGAUACACUGGUAGUGAAAUGAAAAGAUUAAAAAGCAUGUUUACUCUUGCAUGUAUUGUGUGCAUAUAUAUAUAUAUAUAUAUAUAUAUAUAUAUAUAGUAAUUCCAAAAUGGCUUUUUUCACCACUUCUGAAAGACACAGAUUUCACUGCAGGUAUUGCAUCUUUAUAGUGCUGCACAUUAGGGCUAAGCUGAAAAAAUACAAAUCGUGCAGCUGGUCAGAGACCAAUACCGCAAAAUCAGGUGAAGUUCAAUAAUUAAUGAUGAGAUUCUCAAAACUAUCUGAUAAAUUUGGAGUACAAGUUCCAAAGUCACACCACUGUUUCUGAUAACCCAUCUCUAAAAUGCUUGGUUUUGCUGUGUUUCUUCUUUUCCAUAUUACCAUGCAGCCACUUUUAUAUACCAAAUGGCAUACUAUUAGCAUAAGGGUUUUUUCUAAUGUGUAAUUCCUAAAGAGCACCACGAAAAUAAAAACAUCCAAACUUAAAUUGAAUUGGAAUUGUAUUUAUUUCGCCUCUUGAACUUUAUAACAUUCACUACUACUUACAUAUCUGAAAUAGAAUUCUGUUUCACACAGCUUCUGUAUCUACAAGUGUGGAAACCACAUACAGUUUUGCAUUCAGAAAAAAUCUGCUCAAUGAGCAGUCUGCAAAGAACUAACAGUUCACGGUAACUCCUUCUUAUCUGACUCUCAAUAUUAACCCUCUGCCAAGAAACUUAACACAACUCCAAAGGAAAGGGCAUGAGUUUCACAUAUAAAAUUAUAUUUAAUCAUUUGUGCAGAUGUUUGGUCUAUAGAUGAAAACAAUUUCAGGGUAAAUACUCA